AGCAGCCGCGGUAAUUCCAGCUCCAAUAGCGUAUAUUAAAGUUGUUGCAGUUAAAAAGCUCGUAGUUGAAUUUCGGGAUCAAUACGUCGGUCGUGCUUCGGUACGUACUGGUGUCAUUGAUUUCUCCCUUCUGACGAACCAUGAUGUCAUUAACUUGGUGUCAUGGGAAAUCAGGACUGUUACUUUGAAAAAAUUGAGUGUUUAAAGCAGGCUCACGCUUGAAUACAUUAGCAUGGAAUAAUGAAAUAGGACGUUUGAUUCUAUUUUGUUGGUUUCUAGGAUCGACGUAAUGAUUAAUAGGGAUAGUUGGGGGCAUUAGUAUUCAAUUGUCAGAGGUGAAAUUCUUGGAUUUAUUGAAGACUAAUACUGCGAAAGCAUUUGCCAAGGAUGUUUUCAUUAAUCAAGAACGAAGUUAGGGGAUCGAAGACGAUCAGAUACCGUCGUAGU
rnacentral:rRNA from 1 species